rnacentral:tmRNA from 1 species
ACUGACUUCGCCCUCGCUGCGUAAGCGAGCCUGAAGUCCGUCAGACCGUAGGCGUUCCCGCUACGGACCCUGGCGUCAUCUAGGGAACUUGCUGCGUGACGGCGUCUGGACGUCACGUGGGACUCUUCCCAGGCUGGGCUCGUCGACUUGGGUGUCUGUGACAAAGGUCGGAGCCGAGCAGAACGUCUGCACAGACUGCACCCGGAGAAGGCGCAGAGACCCAGCGAUGGACGGGGGUUCGAUUCCCCCCAUCUCCACCA